UACGUAGGGUGCAAGCGUUUGUCCGGAAUUAUUGGGCGUAAAGAGCUCGUAGGCGGUUUGUCGCGUCGAAUGUGAAAACCCGGGGCUCAACCCCGGGCCUGCAUUCGAUACGGGCAGACUAGAGUUCGGUAGGGGAGUCUGGAAUUCCUGGUGUAGCGGUGAAAUGCGCAGAUAUCGGGAGGAACACCGACGGCGCAGGCAGCGCCCUGGCUGUGAUAGCUGACACUGAGGCACGAAAGCUGGGGGGAGCAAACAGG
rnacentral:rRNA from 1 species